GGUUGCGUAGUGCAGCGGUUAGCACGUGAGAUUUUGACGACGAUGGCCUGCCCGUUUUGCCCGGUUACCGGGCAAACCGGGCAGGCUACGACAGAGCUUCUCGAGUCCUGAGUUCGAAUCUCGGCGCGACCU